rnacentral:rRNA from 1 species
GAUGAACGCUAGCGGGAGGCUUAACACAUGCAAGUCGAGGGGUAACAUGAGGUAGCAAUACUUUGAUGACGACCGGCGCACGGGUGAGUAACGCGUAUGUAACCUACCUUGUACAGGGGGAUAGCCCGGAGAAAUUCGGAUUAAUACCCCAUAAUGAUAUCUGAAGGCAUCUUUAGGUAUUUAAAGUUUCGACGGUACGAGAUGGGCAUGCGUGACAUUAGCUAGUUGGUAAGGUAACGGCUUACCAAGGCUGCGAUGUCUAGGGGUCCUGAGAGGGUGAUCCCCCACACUGGUACUGAGACACGGACCAGACUCCUACGGGAGGCAGCAGUGAGGAAUACUGGUCAAUGGGCGUAAGCCUGAACCAGCCAUCCCGCGUGAAGGAAGAAGGCGCUAUGCGUCGUAAACUUCUUUUCCGGAGGAAUAAAUUUCGUACGUGUACGGGACUGAAGGUACUCCGGGAAUAAGCAUCGGCUAACUCCGUGCCAGCCGCCGCAGUAAAAC